rnacentral:rRNA from 1 species
UUUAUGGAGAGUUUGAUCCUGGCUCAGGAUGAACGCUGGCGGCGUGCCUAAUACAUGCAAGUCGAGCGAACGGACGAGAAGCUUGCUUCUCUGAUGUUAGCGGCGGACGGGUGAGUAACACGUGGAUAACCUACCUAUAAGACUGGGAUAACUUCGGGAAACCGGAGCUAAUACCGGAUAAUAUUUUGAACCGCAUGGUUCAAAAGUGAAAGACGGUCUUGCUGUCACUUAUAGAUGGAUCCGCGCUGCAUUAGCUAGUUGGUAAGGUAACGGCUUACCAAGGCAACGAUGCAUAGCCGACCUGAGAGGGUGAUCGGCCACACUGGAACUGAGACACGGUCCAGACUCCUACGGGAGGCAGCAGUAGGGAAUCUUCCGCAAUGGGCGAAAGCCUGACGGAGCAACGCCGCGUGAGUGAUGAAGGUCUUCGGAUCGUAAAACUCUGUUAUUAGGGAAGAACAUAUGUGUAAGUAACUGUGCACAUCUUGACGGUACCUAAUCAGAAAGCCACGGCUAACUACGUGCCAGCAGCCGCGGUAAUACGUAGGUGGCAAGCGUUAUCCGGAAUUAUUGGGCGUAAAGCGCGCGUAGGCGGUUUUUUAAGUCUGAUGUGAAAGCCCACGGCUCAACCGUGGAGGGUCAUUGGAAACUGGAAAACUUGAGUGCAGAAGAGGAAAGUGGAAUUCCAUGUGUAGCGGUGAAAUGCGCAGAGAUAUGGAGGAACACCAGUGGCGAAGGCGACUUUCUGGUCUGUAACUGACGCUGAUGUGCGAAAGCGUGGGGAUCAAACAGGAUUAGAUACCCUGGUAGUCCACGCCGUAAACGAUGAGUGCUAAGUGUUAGGGGGUUUCCGCCCCUUAGUGCUGCAGCUAACGCAUUAAGCACUCCGCCUGGGGAGUACGACCGCAAGGUUGAAACUCAAAGGAAUUGACGGGGACCCGCACAAGCGGUGGAGCAUGUGGUUUAAUUCGAAGCAACGCGAAGAACCUUACCAAAUCUUGACAUCCUUUGACAACUCUAGAGAUAGAGCUUUCCCCUUCGGGGGACAAAGUGACAGGUGGUGCAUGGUUGUCGUCAGCUCGUGUCGUGAGAUGUUGGGUUAAGUCCCGCAACGAGCGCAACCCUUAAGCUUAGUUGCCAUCAUUAAGUUGGGCACUCUAAGUUGACUGCCGGUGACAAACCGGAGGAAGGUGGGGAUGACGUCAAAUCAUCAUGCCCCUUAUGAUUUGGGCUACACACGUGCUACAAUGGACAAUACAAAGGGCAGCGAAACCGCGAGGUCAAGCAAAUCCCAUAAAGUUGUUCUCAGUUCGGAUUGUAGUCUGCAACUCGACUACAUGAAGCUGGAAUCGCUAGUAAUCGUAGAUCAUCAUGCUACGGUGAAUACGUUCCCGGGUCUUGUACACACCGCCCGUCACACCACGAGAGUUUGUAACACCCGAAGCCGGUGGAGUAACCUUUUAGGAGCUAGCCGUCGAAGGUGGGACAAAUGAUUGGGGUGAAGUCGUAACAAGGUAGCCGUAUCGGAAGGUGCGGCUGGAUCACCUCCUUU